GACGAACGCUGGCGGCGUGCCUAAUACAUGCCAGUAGAACGCACAGUUUAUACCGUAGCUUGCUACACCAUACACUGUGAGUUGCGAACGGGUGAGUAACGCGUAGGUAACCUGCCUGGUAGCGGGGGAUAACUAUUGGAAACGAUAGCUAAUACCGCAUAAUAUUAAUUAUUGCAUGAUAAUUGAUUGAAAGAUGCAAUUGCAUCACUACCAGAUGGACCUGCGUUGUAUUAGCUAGUAGGUGAGGUAACGGCUCACCUAGGCGACGAUACAUAGCCGAACUGAGAGGGUGAUAGGCAACACUGGGACGGAGACACGGCCCAGACUCCUACGGGAGGCAGCAGUAGGGAAUCUUCGGCAAGGGACGAAAGGCUGACCGAGCAACGCCGCGUGAGUGAAGAAGGGUUUCGGAUCGUAAAGCUCGGUUGUAAGAGAAGAACGGGUGUGAGAGUGGAAAGUUCACACUGUGACGGUAUCUGACCAGAAAGGGACGGCUAACUACGUG
rnacentral:rRNA from 1 species